CGCAUAAUGCGGGCACCGUGAUAGGGGACACCGAGUGCCAGGUUACUAAUGCUGGCUGUCCAGAUGUGUAAAAUACACUUGUUAGCAAGGGCCGGGCAAGACCGGUGCCAGCCGCCGCGGUAAA
rnacentral:rRNA from 1 species